CCUACGUGUGGCAGCAGUGGGGGAUAUUGCACAAUGGGGGAAACCCUGAUGCAGCGAUGCCGCGUGAGUGAAGACGGCCUUCGGGUUGUAAAGCUCUGUCGCAGAGGACGAAAAUGACGGUACUCUAUAAGAAAGCUCCGGCUAACUACGUGCCAGCAGCCGCGGUAAUACGUAGGGAGCAAGCGUUGUCCGGAAUUACUGGGUGUAAAGGGAGCGUAGGCGGGAGGAUAAGUUGAAUGUGAAAUCUAUGGGCUAAACCUAUAGCUGCGUUUAAAACUGUUAUUCUUGAGUGAAGUAGAGGCAGGCGGAAUUCCUGGUGUAGCGGUGAAAUGCGUAGAUAUUAGGAGGAACACCAGUGGCGAAGGCGACCUGCUGGGAUUUUACUGACGCUGAGGCUCGAAAGCGUGGGUAGCAAACAGGAUUAGAUACCCUAGUAGUC
rnacentral:rRNA from 1 species